GUGCGACCUCGUAAACGUAUACUGAAUGUAUCCUGAGUGUAUCCUAUCCGGUAUACCUUCAGUAUACGUAACACGAGAGAGCAC
rnacentral:pre_miRNA from 15 species